GAUCCCGUAGCUCAGCUGGCAGAGCAUUUGACUUUUAAUCAAAGGGUCGCAGGUUCGAGCCGUGCCGCGAUCA
rnacentral:tRNA from 1 species